rnacentral:rRNA from 1 species
GUGUCAGCAGCCGCGGUAAGACGAACCGUGCGAACGUUGUUCGGAAUCACUGGGCUUAAAGGGCGCGUAGGCGGUUGGUCAAGUCAGGGGUGAAAUCUUUCGGCUCAACCGGAAAACUGCCUUUGAUACUGACUGGCUGGAGGGAGAUAGGGGUUGCGGGAACUACCAGUGGAGCGGUGAAAUGCGUUGAUAUUGGUAGGAACGCCGGUGGCGAAAGCGCGCAACUGGAUCUCUUCUGACGCUGAGGCGCGAAAGCUAGGGGAGCAAACGGGAUUAGAAACCCCGGUAGUCC